UUUUUUAUAUUCUUAUUUUAGGACACGUGUUUCUGUGAGUUCAUUAUCACUUUUUGCUUCUCAUCUUCUAUGUUCUUCAAUCACACUCUCACGCACUUGCAUCCUCCAUCUUCUCUACUAUGAUUCUCAGGUAUAUGGAGCAGAUACAACACGACGAUACUCCUAGAUCCUACAUAGCCACAAGCUACCACAUUAGCUGCAUGGGCCAAAACAAUUUAACAAUUGCUGAUUGAGUAAACAACAAAGAUCACACCCCCAGAAGGCACUCUUCUUUUUGUUCCCUUUGAAAAAGAACCAAUACUCAUAUUUGAUAUCCAAACGCAGCCGCAGAGGCAAAUAUUCUACAUUGAUGGUGAACUCUCACUGAUAAUGAGGACCAACAUUUCUGUUCAAUGGCUUGCUCAAAUUAAUCCAAUUCGAAGUUAUGGUCACCGAUCACACUGGUUCCACAAUAGCCUCCAUUUCAGAUCAAUCAACAGAGAAGAUGUUAAACCUCACAGUACAAGAGAUUUAUGACGUCUGCCGUGCAAAGAGAAAAGCGCUACUUCUUGACAAUGCGCAUAGACAAUUAAGAGCAUAGACUUUCAGAAUCCAAAUGAAAAGAUUAUUUUCCAAAAUUUUGGACAAGCUAGCUCUUCUGAAUUAUGAGGAAAAAGAAUCUGCCAACCAGCCAUUACCAACUGCAGUAAUGAUGGGCAUCGCGGAAGCAAGCAAGCACAAGGUUAUGGAGAUCGUCUCAGAACUAAGGAACCAACAAAACCUGCCCGCCAAAGACAAACCUUCCAGCAGUAAACAUAAAAUCAAAAUCAGGGCCCCUAUCAAAAGGGACAGAAAGGUGCUCGAAAUGUAAGUCUCACAACAUCACUCAUAACUGCAUUUUCUACUACCUCUGUAACUUGACUUGAGCAAACUUAGAAUGAGAUGGCUGCCAAUACCCAAAAAAAACCUCACAUAAGCUCCCUUACUUGAAUAUGAGUAAUUUUUUUUUUUUUACAAAAUACCCAAUGAAUCCCACAAUGUGGGGUCUGGGGAAGGUAGAGUGUACGUAGACCUUACCUCUACAUUAGGUAGGGAGGCUGUUUCCGGAAGACUCUCGGCUCAAGAAAAGGAAUAGGAAAGGUUAGAUACGGGCAAACAAUUCAAAGCAAUUAAGAAAAUGAAAACAACCAAAGUGAAUAAGCCAUGAUAAACCAUUCUGUGCAAAUAGAUACUCGCAGAAAUCAAGGGAUAAGAAACUAAAGAUCAAUGCAGCUACUCGCAAGAAAGGAUAAAUGCGACUACCUACUAGCCUUCUACCCUGAUCUGAGUCCUCCAAACCCUCCUAUCUAAGGUCAUGUCCUCAGUAAGCUAGAGAUGCGCCAUGUCCUGUCUAAUCACCUCUCCCCAAUACUUCUUCGGCCUACCUCUACCUCUUCUGAAACCGUCCAUAGCUAGCCUCUCGAACCUCCGCACUGGGGCAUUUGCGUCUCUCCGCAUCACAUGCCCAAACCAUCUCAGCCUCGCUUCCCGCAUUUUGUCCUCCAUCGAGGCUACUCCUACUUCGUCUCGGAUAACUUCAUUCCUACUCCUAUCGCUCCUAAUGUUCCCACACAUCCAUCGCAGCAUUCUCAUUUCCGCCACUUUCAUUUUCUGAACGUGAGACUUCUUGACUGGCCAACAUCCGCCCCAUACAACAUAGUAGGUCUAUCCACCACUUUUUAGAACUUGUAUUUAAGUUUUGGUGGCACCUUCUUGUCGCACAACACUAUAUAACACAUAAAAAAUAGAAACAAGAUGUACUAUGAAAAUAUAAAGAGUUAUCAAGAAUCAGACUGGCACCGUCUCUCCACAGUCCAUAGAGCUUUGUUCUUUGAAAGGACCAUUUCAUGAGUUUUAUUAGCCUAAAAAUAAUUCACUAAACAAAUAUUUAUUGUGUCCACUUACUGAGAGUUGCAUUUAAGCUUGUAAAUAUGAAAAAUGUCCUUUAAAAUUUACAUUUCCAUUUUUCAGUGAGCCAGCUUCUAUUGUGUAAAAAUCUAACACACUUUUCUUUAAUUAUAUUUUUAUAUUUGAACUGAAGCACUUUAUGUUUGCCAAUUUUAAUACAUAUGAAUUUCAUGCCUCUACACAAUAUUUUAACUCAGUGGAUGUAAGUCAUCGGUUCAAAUCCGACAAAGGGCUUUGAAAUCUGUUUAUGAGUGGUGGUAAAUAAGAGUGCAACAACGGCUUUGUUCGUAAGGUUCAUGAUCUCUCACUAGAUCAUAAUUCAUAAGUGCAAAUUAUUGUAGGACAAAGUAGUGUUUAAUAGUCCCUGCACCAACAUCAUUCCUUCUUAGUCUACAAAGAUGUGAUUAUGCCUGGUAGAUUUGAACGAAUGCAUUUGCUUUAAUCCUUUAUUUAUAGCAUUGCUAAGUAGUCAUUAAGUUAAGAAAAUUAUUCAAUUUCUCUUCCUUUUUGCGUACUUCAAAUUUAUUGUUGUCAUUCUAACACAGAGCUGAGUACCUCAAGAUGAAGAAGUGUUUUUGCCCAAUUGUAUAGUUGUGAUGGUUGGUCUUUGUUUCAUUUCCCUCAUAGAUUUUAAUCUCACCUCCUUUAUUUUAUUCUUAGAAAUAUCAAUGUUAAUUUAACUUGCAGGAAUGUAUGUUUAGCUACUUGAUACGCUCAAAUUACACUUUUUAAUGGCAUAACGCGGACGUUGUCAAAUAUAGUAACCCAACAAGGUUGGGGUCGAAUCCCACAGAGAACAAUAUGUAGACAUUUAAGCAGAUUAAGAAUUAUCACCAACAAUAGCUAGGCCGAACGCAUCAAUGGUGGUUUUUAAAUAUGACUUUGAUAAAAUACGAAAAUAUACAAUCUAAUCUAGAAAGCAAGUAAAUUGAUCAAUGGCCACAAGAAUGGAAUAAAGGAAACUACUUCUCAAGUAACGAUCCAAUAUAUUUCACGAAUUACAGAUAAUGGUAAUAUUAUGUUAAUUAGCCUCGGAUAAUGACUCUAAAUUAACUUCUCCCGAAGAUUAACUAGACUACCUAAUUGAAUAUCCCUAAAGCAAUUAGGAGCAUUAAGAACAUCGGCCUAUGGCUACAAGUGGUAUCACCUAUUCCUAGGUCAAUUUCCUUUAGAUGAGGGUUAACGCCCCAAAUUCAUGUUAAUUAUUCUAUCCCAAUCCCGUUCUUCCUCUUCCGAGUUUCAAACAAAGUAAAUGGGUGAGUCUUAGGGUUAGCUACUCCCUUGAGAAACGUUGAAGGACAAGAAUAAUUAAAAUAACAAUAACUUACUUGAUUAAAAAUAAUGUCGAUCAAUAAAUAAGCACAACAAGAGUUUCAAUCUCAAUUGUCACCAAGAAAUUCCCAUAAACAAGAUUUGAAUAAAAGAAAGAAAAUAUAUGUAGGAACCCUAGCCUCCAAACUUGUGUUUUAUGCCAAAGAUGUCUAAGAAUGGUGGCUUAUGAAAUAUUUAAAGAUGUAGGAAAAAGCCCAAAAAAAUAACUGAAUCCAAAAUAAAUUGGGAGAAUUUUUAGUCCCAUCCCAACUCAAAUAGAGAAACUGGUCCAAAGUCAGCAACAGAAGAAUCCUUGCGCCGCACAAGCUAAGGCGUAACCUGAAGUCCUUCGUACACUGAUCCUUGCGUUGCUGUACUCCCACUGAACUGUGCAUUUUUUGUCAUCAUGUACGAUGACGACAAACGAUGGAAACUGUGCUUAAAAUGAUUGGAAUUCGUAGCAUAUGUCGAUUAGAUGAGGUGACGAGUCGAAGACCACAAAGGAUGAACUAAAAGGAGAUUAAAUCGACUGAAGAAACCUCGCUUUUCUUCCGCAUCGCGGGAAGCCUCAGAACAUCAGGCCAUCCAAUCGCAUCGCGUGAAGAAAGCGGACCAACCAACUCAGUCAUCACCAUCUCGCGAUCCUUCCGCAUCGCGGAAGGAAAGCGAGAACCCUCAGUACAUUGCGCGAUCCUUCCGCGAUGCGGAAGGAAAGCGGGGUUCUGCAGAAGUUAUCUCGAUUAGACUAGGAUUUGGAUUCCUUAUUUGUUAUUUUUACCCUAGCCUAUAUAUAGACGUUUUAAUAGCUGAGAACGGUGUGCUGGGAUUAUUCAAGGAUUUGUAAGCCACCGUUCUAUUUUUCUCUCUCUAGGUUUAUUUUCUUUUUCAACCCUAGUUUAUUCAUGGAUUCUUUUGUCUAUGAUUGAAUCAUGAGUAGCUAAUCUCUUAAUUCUAGGGUUGUGGCGAAAGACUUGAAAGUUGGUUUGAUGACAAUUAUUAUCUAUUGAUUUUCCAUAUUUUGGGUUGCUUGUUUAUUCUUGAUCUUAAUUUGUUUGAUUAUCUGGCCAAUAGUUAGACAUUAUCUGUGGUGCGUGAAUUGAACUUGAGAAAGGGAAUUUACGUACGUAAUAAGAAUAAAUAGAGUUUGUUCGAUUUAAUCGUUUUGCUACUGAGGAUAGAGAUAUACCCUUUAGCCCUACUUAGUUGAAUACAGUGAAAUAAAUGCGUUCUUGUUACCUCUGAUGACCAUAGAGAUAUAGGCGUUAUAGUAACAUCUACAGACUUGUGAGAAGUUCGAGAGAACAUCAUAAAGUAUAAUUAACCCGUCAACUAGUAACCCAGGAACUGAAAUAGGUGGAAUUGUCCGAAGAUCAACUGGCUUGUCGAAAGCCAUGACCCUAGAUCUUUC